GCCCGGCUAGCUCAAUCGGUAGAGCGUGAGACUCUUACCUUGUCAGUCUCCCGGCUCUGAAAGGACAUCUCAAGGUUGUGGGUUCGACCCCCACGUCGGGCU